GUAAGCAUAUUGGGAAACUAGUAUGUAGCGAAUAGUGCGAGCUAUUCCGAUAAAGAAAUUGAAUUGCUGGGAAGCCGUAAAGCUAAUUUAACCACAACGUAGAGAUGAAAAAUACUCAAGCGUGAAGGUGACGAAAGUAGAAAAAAUAAAUUAGAUGAUAUAAGGUUCAAACCUAAGUAUUUUAAAAAUUGGUGAUCAGCAGCGAAGCUCUAAAUAGGAGAACGUUCAACGACUAUUCCUCUUGAGGGAAGUACAUUACAAGCGAUGGGUAAUGGAAGUGGUUUCGCCUAAGUCUAGCAUUCUAGAUAAGGAUAAGAUAUAGUCUGUGCUUAGUAGAAAUACUAAG
rnacentral:ncRNA from 1 species